GAAAUGCGGGUGCUAUACAUGCAAGUCGAGCGAACCUUGAGGUGCUUGCACCUCUUGGUUAGCGGCGGACGGGUGAGUAACACGUGGGCAACCUGCCUGUAAGACUGGGAUAACAUCGGGAAACCGAUGCUAAUACCGGAUAAUCCUUUUCCUCUCAUGAGGAAAAGCUGAAAGUCGGCUUCUCGCUGACACUUACAGAUGGGCCCGCGGCGCAUUACCUAGUUGGUGAGGUAACGGCUCACCAAGGCGACAAUGCGUACCCAACCUGAAAGGGUGAUCGGCCACACUGGGACUGAAACACGGCCCAAACUCCUACGGGAGGCAGCAGUAGGGAAUCUUCCGCAAUGGACAAAAGUCUGACGGAGCAACGCCGCGUGAACGAUGAAGGCCUUCGGGUCGUAAAGUUCUGUUGUUAGGGAAAAACAAGUACCGGAGUAACUGCCGGUACCUUGACGGUACCUAACCAAAAAGCCACGGCUAACUACGUGCCACCACCCGCGGUAAUACGUAGGUGGCAAGCGUUGUCCGGAAUUAUUGGGCGUAAAGCGCGCGCAGGCGGUCCUUUAAGUCUGAUGUGAAAGCCCACGGCUCACCCGUGGAGGGUCAUUGGAAACUGGGGGACUUGAGUACAGAAAAGGAAAGCGGAAUUCCACGUGUAGCGGUGAAAUGCGUAGAGAUGUGGAGGAACACCAGUGGCGAAGGCGGCUUUCUGGUCUGUAACUGACGCUGAGGCGCGAAAGCGUGGGGAGCAAACAGGAUUAGAUACCCUGGUAGUCCACGCCGUAAACGAUGAGUGCUAAGUGUUAGAGGGUUCCCGCCCUUUAGUGCUGCAGCUAACGCAUUAAGCACUCCGCCUGGGGGAGUACGGCCGCAAGGCUGAAACUCAAGGAAUUGACGGGGGCCCGCACAAGCGGUGAGCAUGUGGUUUAAUUCGAAGCAACGCGAAGACCUUACCAGGUCUUGACAUCUCUGACACUCCUAGAGAUAGGACGUUCCCCUUCGGGGGACAGAGUGACAGGUGUGCAUGAUGUCGUCAGCUCGUGUCGUGAGAUGUGGGUAGUCCCGCACGAGCGCACCUGAUCUAGUGCAGCAUCAGUUGCACUCUAGUGACUGCCGUGACACCGAGAGGUGGGAUGACGUCAAUCAUCAUGCCCUUAUGACUGG
rnacentral:rRNA from 2 species